rfam:Candidatus Daviesbacteria bacterium RIFCSPHIGHO2_12_FTLL_37_11 rifcsphigho2_12_scaffold_4498, whole genome shotgun sequence.
GGAGGGGUCGCCUAGCGGUUUUAUGGCAGAAGUCUUGAAAACUUCCAGGGGUGCAAGCUCCUCGUGAGUUCGAAUCUCACCCCCUCCG